rnacentral:rRNA from 1 species
GACAGAGGGUGCAAACGUUGUUCGGAAUUACUGGGCGUAAAGUGUGCGCAGGCGGCCGAGCAAGUCGAGUGUGAAAGCCCCGAGCUUAACUUGGGAACUGCGCUCGAAACUACUUGGCUAGAGUGUGGCAGAGGGAGGUGGAAUUCCACGUGUAGCGGUGAAAUGCGUAGAUAUCUGGAGGAACACCGGUGGCGAAGGCGACAUCCUGGACCGGUAUUGACGCUGAGGCGCGAAAGCCAGGGGAGCAAACGGG